UACAGAGGGUGCAAACGUUGUUCGGAAUUACUGGGCGUAAAGCGCGUGUAGGCGGCUAUGCAAGUCGGAUGUGAAAGCCCUCGGCUCAACCGGGGAAGUGCACCCGAAACUGCAAAGCUAGAGUCUCGGAGAGGAUCGUGGAAUUCUCGGUGUAGAGGUGAAAUUCGUAGAUAUUCGGAAGAACACCAGUGGCGAAGGCGGCUCACUGGACUGGCAUUGACGCUGAGGUGCGAAAGCGUGGGGAGCAAACAGG
rnacentral:rRNA from 1 species